GGAAGUAAAAGUCGUAAUAAGGUCUCCGUAGGUGAACCUGCGGAAGGAUCAUUAUUGUAUAACCGAGGUGCGAGGGCUGUCGCUGACCCGAAAGGUCGUGCACGCCCGAGUGCCCUCACACACAUCCAUCUCACCCCUAUGUGCACCACCGCGUGGGUCCCCCUUUGGCUUGUUCGGAGGGGGGCUUACGUUUUCACACAAACUUUGUAUGCAGUGUAGAAUGUAUUUUUUGUUUUUGCGAUCACGCAAUCAAUACAACUUUCAACAACGGAUCUCUUGGCUCUC
rnacentral:misc_RNA from 1 species